ACAAAACCUGCGAGAUUAACUGGCACAGUUGGAGCAAAUGCGUUCUUUCAAGUAAAUGUUAUCAGUGUUUGCUUGCCUAUUUAUUCUACAGAAUAUGUUCAUGUACCCGUGGAUUCCAUUUUUAUUUUAGAAAAGGAAUGGAAGAGAUGGAAGAUGUUGUUGUUUUUCUGCAAGAAACUAUGCUUACAAGUCUUAUUUUCCGGGAGGGGAGAUUUCUAAUUGGGGGAAUAAGUUUAGGGUUUGCAGUUUGUGUUGAGAAAGCUGGGUGGUUGAUACGAUUCAUGGAGGUUUAAAUGUUCUGGAUGACUGGGGUGGGGGUGGGGAAUCCAGCCGGCGUAAGUAAGAAAGACGCCUCACUUCAUGAGUCACUGGGGAAAUGUCUGGAGUGAAGAGUAAUUGAUAAUGUUGAGGAAAACCUAUGGAAUCUGCCCGUUAGGUUGGCGCUUCAUUCCUUCCCUCCUUAGAGCUCACGGGAGGCUUCUCCUCACACUUGUCACAGUUUGAUUUUGAACCUAGAUAUGAAGCUAAUAGUUUCUAACGGUUUUUCAACUGCCACUGAAUCAAAUUACUGAAGUAGAAAGGACCGGUUGACAUUCCUGCUUUAAAGUGACCGAAUGUCCAUGUCCUAGGUAGGCGGCUCAAAUAUCUGCCAGGUUUUGAAGGCGAUUCAGAGUGUCAUGUACAGUAGAGCAGAGGCCAAGAAAACUGACUUUAUUGAAUGAAGGCCACAUGCGUGAAACAAGGACACAAGAGAUUCUCACACUUACAAGCACUUGUCUACUUGGCUUCAGAGAGGAGCCCGUUUGCAGUGAUGCUCCUCAGACAUUGGCACAACUUAAGCAUAUGCACGCGAGGUGCCUGUGGUGACAGCUUUUCAGUAAUUUCAUUACAGGGAUCUUGUUGAAAAAGAGGGUGCUCCAGUAGCGAAAGCCUUCCUCUACCAGAUCCAUCUCAGCUACAGUAUAUUGCACAUAAAUUUCUUCCUGGAUUCUUGAAAUGGUUUCUUUCAUCCAGCCUCGAGCCCCCUGUGGAAGGUCUUGGAAAUCAGAAAGGUUUAAGUUGUGUAGAUUGAGCUCUGGGGAAGAAAUAAGCAUUUUGAUGAGAGAUGGGCCAGUUCAGUGUUCUGUGCCA
rnacentral:lncRNA from 1 species